rnacentral:rRNA from 1 species
UGAGCAAUCUGCCCUUCUCAUCGGAAUAAGCGUUGGAAACGACGUCUAAUGCCGAAUACGACCUCCUUUCGCAUGAUCGGAGGUGGAAAGCUCCGGCGGAGAAAGAUGAGCUCGCGGCCUAUCAGCUAGUUGGUGUGGGUAAUGGCCCACCAAGGCGACGACGGGUAGCCGGCCUGAGAGGGUGACCCGGCCACACUGGGACUGAGACACGGCCCAGACUCCGUACGGGAGCAG